rnacentral:rRNA from 1 species
GUCUAUGGCCAUGCUACCCUGAUCAAGUCUGAUUCUGUCUGAUCUUGGAAGUUAAGCAGGAUAAGGCAUGGUUUGUACUUGGAUGGGAGACCACCUAGGAAGACCAGGUGCUGUAGGUG